rnacentral:lncRNA from 1 species
UGUGGGUUCAGAGGGAGAUUCCAGGGAGGGGCAACUGUAGACUCCCUCCCAGUGAGAGUGGGGUUCCCAGGUGGCCCAUGUCUCACAGUCUCAACCAAGUGUUUCAUUGGAUGCAUCUUGUUCUCCCUCAUCCACUCGUUACCAUCCAGGCCCUAUCUUCUGGGGACCGCCACAAGCCUUGAAGUGAGUGAGCUAUGUUCCUGAAUUUCCCCCAGAAACUGAACUGAAGUAGUCAAGAGUCAUCUCAUAUGUGGGAGGCGACAGAUCCAGAGUUUAAACUCAUGUGACCUCAAGGGUCCUCUCCUGUGUCUGCACCUCUUAUUUUCCCAACUUUUCCAAGCACGGAAGUGUUUUCAUGCGUUUCCCUGGGGGGGGGGGGGGAGCAUGUUGACAAAGACGGAAAGAGGAGUAAAGUGGGCGGGGCUUCAUCAUGUGGGAGGCUCACU